AGGUCCCGCCAGGAUUCGAACCUGGGUUGGUGGAGUCAGAGUCCACAGUGAUAACCGCUACACCACGAGACC
rnacentral:tRNA from 1 species